CUGAUUCGAUGGAGGUGAGUCUGAGUGAACCCCGGGAGUUGGUGAUGGACAGGGAGGCCUGGCGUGCUGCGAUUCAUGGGGUCGAAAAGAGUCGGACACGACUGAGCGAGUGAUCUGAUCUAAUCUGACUGGGCCUAUAUACCCAAUCCCCCCUUUACUGCGGGUUGUAGAAUGGACAGAUAAAGAACCAAUCUUAUCCACCAAUGAUUCAGUACAUAGGCCUCCUCCUUAGCUUGGAGGGGCCCUUUCAUCCUGAGGAAGAAGGGAGACUAAUUAAUUUUUCUCUCGAGUAUGAAGUCCUUCCUCUAUACAUGAGUCUAGCAGAAUUAUACAUUAACUUUAGCCGACAGACAUGGGCUUCCAUUCUGCUUCCAAAGAAGAACUUUCGGAGAUUGCUUGGACUGUUUACUGCCCUUUCUUUCUAUGAGAACCAUGUCAACACUACUGAAACGCUAGGAAAAGGACAAAAAUCUUUAUGCAAAGGGUUUACAUAUAAGAGCUUUAAAUGCACUCCUGGUUCAUUGGGACAGAUGUCAAGCUAAAUCAGGGAAAUUAAUGUUUGGGUCCAAUUACACCAUUGUUGAUAGGGAACCCCAUGGUAUGUGGUUGUCUAACUGCUCAGAUGAUAUUAACAGCACUGUAUGUGAUUAUGCUACUCAAGUAGCAUAGAAGGUUAUGCUACGAUGGAACAUUACCAUGACAAAGGACUUCUUGGCUGGCUUGACGGUGGAAUGGCACCCCCUCACCCUCGAAUCGUCCUCAAUAAACAGAUUGGGCCUGAACAAUGGGACAUCUGGAAAGUUGCCGCGAGCACCAAAGAACUUGGAAGUUGGACUGGAUAUUUCAUGGGGACCAGCCGUAGUCAUAGUAACUAUUCCUUUUGUUAUAAUCUUUCAUAUUUCAUGCAAGGUUGUGUUCCCCUUCCUUUUGUUAUAGCUAUAGGGAACUUGCAGUUUAAUAAGACUUUACAUUCUGUGACUUGUAUAGCUUGCAGAUUGUAUAAUUGUCUUAAUUCCUGUGUUUCUUUGAAAAACAAAUCCCUUUUGAUUCUUCAGUCUCGACGUAAUCUAUGGUUGCCAGUAGAUCUCCAACGACCGUGGAAAGAGGGUCCUAUGGCAGGACUUGCCUCCCUGCUGCUUACUAAAUUACUUCGAUGAUCUAAAUGAUUCAUUGGAUGGUUAAUUCUUGGCAUUUUGGGAUUAAUAGCCAUUUGCACUAUUGUCACUGUCGCAGACAUUGCUUUACAAACCUGAAUUCACACACACACCUUUAUUCAAAAUUGGACCAAAGAUGCUUAUACUAUGUGGACCACUCAGGUGCAGAUAAAUGAGGAAGUUCAAGAUGAAAUACAGGAAAUAAAAACAGCCAUCCAGUGGGUCAGAGAUCAAUGAAUAGAUUUACAAAAACAAGUUAUACUAAAAUGUGACUGGAAUUCUUCUCUAUUUUGUAUUACCCCUAUUUGGUUCAACUAUAGUGCCUACUAUUGGGAACAAAUCAAAUUUCAUUUGUAAGACAUACAUGAUAAUGCUUCCUUAAAUGUACGAUUAUUACAAAAGGAAAUCUUUGAAACCUUCUCUAAGAGUCUACCCUCUUCCAACAGUUUGGAAACCUUAGCUGAACAGCUAGCUGAUCAAUUACCUGGGCUAGACCCUCGAGGAUGGUUUCUAAGCAUUACACAUAGUAUUUGAUCUGGAACUAUAACGCUGAUAAUUAUCCUGGUGAUUAUAUUUGUAGUAUACCAAUGCCUUUCAACUAAAAUUGUUCAAACUAAACAAACUCAAUUGGUCAGGGCCUUUUUCACAAAAGUAUCUACAGUCACCCCCAAUUAUGAAAAAAUUAAAAAGGGGGGAAUUGUCAGGGGAUGUUCUACUUUAAGGAAUCCAGUAUGUUGUAUUUUCUUCCUUUGUGUGCCAUUUCUCAAGGACUCUCUGUUCCUUAUCAGUUCUGGAAAACAGGAACGAGCAGAGCUGCAUGCAGCUCUCAGGACUGAGAUCAUGGGAAAGACCACCUGCUUGGAUUCCCUUCAGUGACUCCCUUCAGUGACUCUCUUCAGUGACCUUUUACUUACAGGACUAUCCAUUUUGUUGCAACUCAUGGAAUUUCAUUCUUAAUGGCUGAGUAAUCAUUUUAUUGAAGAUAUAUAAGCACGCGUUUCUGCAAAUAAAGUACCCUUGUUUCACUCGAGAUUUGGGUGCCCCACAUCCUUCUUUUCUUCGCCUUCUUUUCAUCUACUCCAGUCCCCAAGUCCCGGUCUGUAAAGACCAUAACAGAUAAGGAAGAUAGACAUGUUCCUGUGUAUUCCCCAUUUUAAAAUUUUUUUUAUUUGUAGUUUCAGUGUGUGAUGUGCUCGUUCAACUAUGCCCUGUGCUUGUGGAUUAUAAGGAAUAUCUGUAAUAUGUUUAAUGGAAAAUGAUUGUAAAAAUUGUUUGAAUUGCCUAGAAAUAUAAGUAGGGCCAUUGUCUGUUUUUAUAGAACUAGGUGUUCCCAUUAUUGUAAAGCAGGUUACUGCCGCUGCUGCUGCUAAGUCACUUCAGUCGUGUCCGACUCUGUGCGACCCCAUAGAUGGCAGCCCACCAGGCUCCCCCGUCCCUGAGAUUCUCCAGGCAAGAACACUGGAGUGGCAAGUUAAUAGGUUCAAGAGCUUUGUCUACAUCAUAUUGACACAUGGUGGGAGAAUUCAUCAUUCCUUGAAGCAACACAGUCCAUUGAUAAUGUUUAUGAGGCCCGAUAUGAUUAUGAUAAGGAAGAAAGAAAGCAAAUCUCUCUCGGUCUAGAGGGUGUAAAGGUAUAGUAAAAAAGCAAUCCUGUAAAUCUAUGAUAAUAAUAUUCCAGUUUUGAGGAAUAAGUGGUAAGUGAUGGAAUUUCUAGUUGUAAUGCACCCAUAGGUUUCAUAGAUGUAUUAACUUUUCGAAGAUCUGUUAAAAGACACCAUUUGCCAGAUUUCUUUUAUAUUACAAAAAUGGGAGAAUUCCAAGGGGAACAAGAUUCCUCAAUAUGUUUUAAUUUCAAUUGUGUAUCUAUAAGUUCCUUAGCAGCCUCUAAUUUCUCUUUUGCAAGGAGCCACUGCUCUGUCUAAAUAGGCUCAUCAUUUUUCCAAGUUAUUUUAAUAAUUGUAUUGUUUGUUAAAUAAGUGGUGGCCCAAAGGAAAAAUGUGGAAUAUAUAUUUGAGUUUGCCAUUGCAUAAGUAAAUUUCUUCCUAUUAAAUUAAGGAGUGCAUCCAUCACAUAAGGUCGUAAUGUUGCAGGCUGGCCUGGUCCCUCAUUUGGAUAUAUUUGGACAUUUUGAUAAACCUCUUGUAUUUUGGUUUGAGAAAUCCCUGCAAUUUGGUGAGAAAUUUCCUGUAUAGGCCAAGAUUUGGGCCAUAAAUGUUUGGAAAUAAUGGUAAUAUCAGAUCCAGUAUCAAGAAGACCAGAAAAUCUUUUGCCAUUAAUUUUCAUAUUUAUAUUUGGUCGUGCAUAUUCAAAUACUAUUGAUGUCCAUAAGGAUUGCUUUUCAUCUGUACUACCAAAUCCACCUGUCCUUAUACCAUUAGAGGAGUUAAUAGAAAUGUAAGGUAAAAGAAGUAAUUGGGCAAUUUUGUCCCCCUUUUUGAAUUGUCAUAGUAUCUGAGAUGACAUCAUAAUUUGAAUUUUUUUUUAUAAUCUGAAUCAAUUAUUUCAGGGUGGAUAGCCAUUUCUUUAGAAGUCAGACUAGAUUGGCCAAGUAUAAGGCAGAAGGUUUGUGGGGGUAGGGGUCCAUAAAAUCCAGUAGGUAUUCUAGAAGGGACUGCUUGAGGAAAGAGAAGAAAAUCAUUUGGUGCCUGACUCUUGUGUGAGGCCUCCCUCAUAGCUCUGCUGGUAAAGAGUCCGCCUGCAAUGCAGGAGACCCAGGUUUGAUUCCUGGGUCAGGAAGAUCCCCUGGAGAUUCUAGAAGGGAAGAUAUUCUAGAAGGGACUGCUUGAGGAAAGAGAAGAAAAUCAUUUAGGGCUGGUAUAUUGAUGGCAUCAUUGCUGGAUGUUGAAGGUUUGAGGGAAAAGAUGACGUUUGCCCCUGGUUUUUGUUGAUGGGGACCCACCCGGGGAGUCCCCAUCUUUUAGUUUCCUGAAAUAGGGUUCCCUUCAACAUCAUACUUAGAUCGAUAUUUUUAGCCCAAUGUACCCCUUUGUGACAUUGAGGGCAGACUCCUAGAGGUUUUUUAGUAGUUUUAAUUUUUUCUGUGUGUUUUUUAGGGCAGUUCUUUUUUAAAUGGCUCUUAUCUCCACAAACAAAACAUCCUUCAUUCCCCUUUUUAAAGGCAGCAGCCAUUGCUUCAGCUAACAUUUGCAUUGUCUGAAUUUCUGAUCCUAAGUUGCGACAAGCCUUCAAAUAAUCAAUAACAUUCCCAAUCUCACGAAUUGGAGUGAUGGCUCUUUAACACUCCUGAUUCGCAUUCUCAUAUGCAAGUAGUUUUUCUAAUUGCACUCUUGUCUCUUCUCCAACAACAUUAUGGGAGAUAGCAACUUCCAGUCUAGUUAAAAAAUCAGCAUAGGCUUCAUUAGGCCCUUGUAAUAUCUUUGUGUAGUUACUUUUAGGUUCCCCUUAAGGAGUAAUUCGAUCCCAGGCUUCAAGGGCAGCUUCUUUCAAUUGCUCAUGCCACAAAGGAGGGCAUUGUAUCUGAGCUUUCACCAAGUCAAAUUGCCCCAUCCUGGUUAACAUUUUAAAAGUAAUUUGGUUUUGGGGAGUGCCAGCUCGAGUGUUAGAAUUGGCAUGAUCUCGGGUCACAUCAUGAAACCACGUUAUCCAUUGAAGAUAUUUUUCUGGUUUAAGAAAAGCUUUUCUCAAAAUUCACCAAUCAUAAGGAAUAAAAUUUCCAAUAGAAGAUGCCAUAGCAUUUAGAAGUUCUUUUGUAAAAGGAGAAUGAGGGCCGUACAUAGUUACAGCCUUUUUCAUCUGUUGCAUGUGAGAAAAAUCAAUGCCUUCGUAUUGUGGUAUUAGUUGCCCUUGAGCAUAAACAUUCCCUAACACAGGAAAGGCAAAAAGAUCAUCAGCCUCAGAGACUCGAGAUUGCAAAGCCAGUAAAUCAGAAAGCCUUCGUCGUGAAGAAGAACGAGUGGAUCGUCUGUUUUCAUAAAUAUGAGUGUGUGUUAGGGGCUUAUAAUUGUCAUCAAAAAAAGUAAUGUUGGCUUUAGUGUCAGAGAGCAUCAGAAGAAUCAUCAUCAGAUUAAUUUUGUCCUCUAAUUGAGGGGACCUUCGGUUUCAUGCCCGUUACAAGAGGAGGAGGAGGAGUGCUUGGGACAGCUGGAGCAGGGAUGGUGGGAAAGUUUUGAAACAUUUUAUCUUUCUGUAAUUGGGCCUUCUGUAAAGUCUUAUCAUCUAAUUUAUAUUCGUAUAAUGAGCAUUCCGCUUGUUGACAAAUAUCAGGGGGGCUAGCAUUGCCUUUAAAUGGCAAGAUCACGGCUUUAAUGAGGGCCCACAAGGGCCAGAAAUUUAUUGGAAUAUUUUCUCCCCGUCUUGCAGCUUGCUCAACAUUUUCUUUAACCCAGUUCCAAAUUUCUAAAUCAAAACUGCCUUCAUCAGGGAACCAGGGAUUAUAUUUAACCACCGUUUGGAGACAAGGCUCUAUCUUUUAACGCAAAACCGAAAGUCCUUUAACCUUAAAUAAAUGAUAAAGCAGAAAAGUGGUGGGGCUUUCCAGCCAUUUGUCCUAUAACCCAGCACUUACCGACCUCCGUAGGUCCUAACAGUUACUCUGUCCACUUGCCUAGGGCUUUCACCAGGUCCCUGUUCGGGCGCCACUUGUCACAGCCUUUGUAGACGGGGACCUGGGGACUGGAGUUGACGAGAAAAAGGACGCAGGGGACCUAGGUCUCGAGUGAAACAAGGGUGCUUUAUUUGCAGAAACGUAUGUUUCUAUGUCUUCAUACAAGGUAGCUUUAGGCAGUAAAAUAAUUGAGGAUAAACAAAGCCAAGCAAAUAAUAAUCUUCAAAGGGCCAGAAAGCAUUCCAUAUCCUGAGGAAGAGGGGCAUAACUAAAUAGAUUACCUUUAAGUAAAAGGUCACUGAAGGGAGUCACUGAAAGGAGUCCAAGCAGAUGCCCUUUCUCAUGAUCUCAGUCCUGAGAACUGCAUGCAGCUCUGUUCAUUCCUAAUUUCCCGGAACUGGUAAGGAAUAAGAGUUCUUGAGAAACGGGACACAAAAGAAGAAAAUAACAUAUUGGAUCCCUUAAAGUUGAACGUCCCCUGACACAGAGCAAUUAUUUUGAGCAUCAAAUUUGAUCGGAACCAGGAUAAUAUGUGUAUGUGUAUGAAUCACAUUUAACAGCUGUCAUUACCAUUUGCUAAUGUUGUAUUCAAAGAACUACAUUCUGAAUAUAUCAAGGUUUCCUGUUUCCAUGAAUAAAAUGUAAACACUUCUGAAA